AAUUUUAAUGAUAGUAUAAAAAAAUAAUAAUAGAGUUAUGGAAUAAAAUAAUAGGAUAUAAGAAAUUUUAAUGAGUGUAAAAAAAAAAUAAAGUGUAAAAAUUUAGAGAAUAUUGAAAAUUAAAGAGAGAUUUGAGAAUAAUUGUGUAGAAAAUUUGAGAGAUUUGAGAGAUUGGAGAGAAUUUAAGAGUAGUGUGAAUGAAUUAAGUGGAUGAAUUGAGGUAUUUAUAGAGUUUUUAUAAAU
rnacentral:misc_RNA from 1 species